rnacentral:misc_RNA from 1 species
CCGAUUGCUGUCGCGUUGCGCUUUCUUCGUUUUUUUCGGCUGCGCAAACUUAUAUUUUGUCGUUGUAAUAUUUUGCAUAAAUAUAUAAAUUAAAGCGCGUGACGGAACAACAAACAAAUAACGAAGCCAGCAAAGUAGAAGGGCGAAAAAUCGAAACUAAACCGAAUCGAAGUACUUCUCAAGUGCAAAAAGUGUGCGUGUGCGUGCGACUGUGUGUGUGUGUGUUGUGUUUGUGCGACUGUGCUGUGUGCGUGUAUUUGUGUGCAACCAAAAAAACAGAACGUGCAACAAGAAGCAAGAAGAAGAGCCAUCAGCAGCUGACAGCCCAGCAAUAAAUCGAAAUUUCAAUAAUCGCGAGUCAAUUUGAGAGUGCUAUUAAAACACUAGAAACAAUGCAUCCACGAUACAGCCCAGCCCCGCCCCCUCAGCAGCAGCAACAGAUGGGUGGACCGCCGCACCAGCAGCAGGGCGGCGGGGGAGGUGGGGGCGGCAGCAUGAGGGGACCAUCGAACGCCCAGCAAUUGCCGCCGCAGAUUCCAAGAUCCCAGAACUAUUCAAACGGGAGCUCGUCUAGCGCCGCCGCCGCACCUCCAACAUCGCGCAGCGCCUUCCCCGGCGCCCCGCUCACCGCCUCAGCCGUCGCACUCAAGGGCGCCCUCCCCCAGCGGCCACCGGCCAUGACAAGUCCCGCAGCCGCUGCCGCUGGCGCCGCUCUGGCCGCAGGUGCCCCAUACCGCGGCGCCGCCAGCUGGACCCCGCAGGGUUAUGCCCCGGCCGCUGCCGCAGCCGCCGCUGCUGUCGCCCAGCAGGCAGCCUACCGCUACACGGCGCCGCUGCCCCAGCCGGCGUAUGCCGCCUAUACGCCGCACACGGCCACCACACCGGCCACAACCACGGUAAGUUUUCUGAACCAACCUGUGGACUAUUAUUGGUACGGUCAGCGAGUGCCGACGGCAGCCUCACCGAGCAACACCAACUCGAGCAGCUCCUCGAACACGGGCUCCCAGAGCGGCACCCUGAGCACCAGCCUGAGCAACACGACGAACACCAACACGAACAUGGGUCCCAACGGCACGGUACAGAAUCAAAACCAGCAGGGCGGCGAGCAGUUGUCCAAGACAAAUCUCUACAUUCGCGGACUGCAGCAGGGCACAACCGACAAGGAUCUAGUUAAUAUGUGUGCACAAUACGGAACAAUUAUAUCAACCAAGGCUAUUUUAGAUAAAACAACAAACAAAUGUAAAGGUUACGGCUUCGUCGACUUCGAGCAGCCAGCCUUCGCCGAGUGCGCCGUAAAAGGAUUGCAGGGGAAGGGCGUGCAAGCUCAGAUGGCCAAAGUGGGUAUCUGGGUGCUUCAUAGGCCGGCCAUUCAACAGGAACAGGAUCCCACAAAUUUGUAUAUUGCAAAUUUGCCGCCCCACUUCAAAGAAACUGAUCUGGAGGCAAUGCUAUCGAAAUACGGACAAGUUGUUUCGACCAGAAUAUUGCGUGAUCAGCAGAUGAACUCCAAGGGCGUUGGCUUUGCCCGCAUGGAGAGUCGCGAGAAGUGCGAGCAAAUCAUUCAGAUGUUCAAUGGUAACACAAUACCGGGUGCCAAAGAUCCCCUGCUGGUUAAGUUUGCCGAUGGCGGACCGAAAAAGAAGAAUCUCUUCAAGACGCCCGAUCCGAAUGCGCGUGCGUGGCGCGACGUCUCCGCGGAGGGGAUUCCCGUGGCCUACGACCCCACAAUGCAGCAGAAUGGAGUCAGCGUGAACGUGGGCACGCCCAUCGGAGUGCCCUACUCCCGCUUCAGCGCCCCCCAGGUGGGUGGCUAUCCAGUGGCCGGCUCCCAGUGGAUACCCGGUUACAUGAUGACCCAACCGAUCACUCAGGUAGAUGAUCAGACUUCUUAUUCUCCACAGUACAUGCAGAUGGCAGCUGCCCCUCAGCUGGGAGUGACCUCAUACAAACCGGAGGCGGUUAACCAGGUGCAGCCCCGUGGCAUCUCGAUGAUGGUUAGCGGCGAUACGGGCGUGCCAUAUGGAACGAUGAUGCCUCAGUUGGCCACCCUGCAGAUUGGCAACUCUAACUUUUCUCCAUCGUUACAGUAUAUUAGUCCAACUUAUCCAUAUUAUGCACCACCACCAACUAUUAUACCAACAAUGCCAAUGACAGAUUCCGAACAGGCUAGCACAGCUGCAUCACCCGACGAGGCAUACACACAGUAUCCACAUCAAGCCGCUCCCAAAUAGGUCUUCGCGAGUAUAGUUACUAAACAGUUUAAUCACUGGUAACCCAUACUAGCUAUAAUAUAUUAGUACCCCAUUUGAGUACUAUAUAAAUUGGACGAGAGUGAGAGCAAGCCUGGUGGAAGCGGAAAAGCCAAGGAGGGAGGAGAAUCAACAUCAAAAGCAGAGGAUCGGAUAAAGGAGUCUACAACAACCACCACAUGAACAACAACUAGAAGAGGAAACUGCUGAAGCAACAACAUCGGCGGAAAAAUGAAAAACACAGCAUGCAGAAUCUAGAGAAAAGCCAUCGCAAAAAGCCGGGAAAAUCCCAGAGAGCAGCAGCAGAGAAAUAAUGUAUAAAUAAGGAGGUUGGAUGUGAGGAUGAAGUUUAGGGGGUACACGAAUGCGAAAAGAAAAGCCGGUCUCCGAAGAGACGAGCGCAUAAGACGCGAGAAAAAAGUGAAGAAAAGCAAAGACUAAACUUAAAUAAUAGAGAAUAGUUAUACACUAAAUAAACAACCAGAGAAGCAAAAGCAGUGCGGCAACCAUUGCCAAAAGAAACAGCGGAAAACGAGAGAAGAGCAGUCGAAAAUAUUUACAAAAAGAGAACUGCAGGAUGCGAACAGAAAGCAAAGUCAAAGGAAAUUCACUUGGGGGUCGUAAGAACUUGAGGAAAUCUGCUGAGAGAAAAAAAAACUAUCGCAGAUUAGAGUUAAGUUAAUUUUGUUAAGCGCAAGAGGAAAAACAAUUGCAUGGGGGAAACCGAUGGGAAGAGCGAUGUAAAAAUAGAAGAGAAAAUGAAAAGAAACUAUUUUGCUAAUUUUGAGCUAGCAAAACCUAAGCAGACAGAAAUUUGUGAAGUGAAAGAUGGAAAAAACCGAAACCGAAACAGAAACAAAAAUAAAUGUGUGUGCAAUGUAUGUUAAAAAACCCGUAAGGAAAAACAGAGCAAAUAAAAACGAAACAAACUCCAUUUCGAUGAUGAUAUAAACAAAGCAUAAAUCUUAAGUCAAACUGCAGCGGCAACAAAGAAACACCCAGAAGAACGAAGAAAGCGCAACGGCGCGCAGAAGAAAGCAAAACUUUUUUACCUUAGAGGCAACGUUUUCUUUGUUGUGGCCUGCUAAAGAAGAUUUUUACGAUGAAACUCAGACUCUACCUAUGUUUUGUUCUGUUUGUCUAAUUUGUAAUAUUUAUUUUGUAUUUUUGUUGAAUCGUGUUGAACAGCACAAAGAACGGAAGAACAGAGGAAUGCGUAGAUAGCCACAAAGAGAAAGGAGAUCUUUGGUUUGUUUUCUCCUUUUGUUGGUUUCUUGAACCAAACAUGCAAAUUGUAUAAAGCAAAGAUCCGAAGAAAAGAAAUGAAGAAAACAAAAAACAAACCUUAAAAAGAAAUGUCUAUUUCCCCCCAUUUGACAUUCGUUUUGUGCUAUCCAAGCAGUCAGAAAGAAGU